rnacentral:rRNA from 1 species
CCUACGGGCGGCUGCAGUGGGGAAUAUUGCACAAUGGGCGCAAGCCUGAUACAGCCAUGCCGCGUGUGUGAAGAAGGCCCUCGGGUUGUAAAGCACUUUCAGCGGGGAGGAAGGCGUUAAGGUUAAUAACCUUGUCGAUUGACGUUACCCGCAGAAGAAGCACCGGCUAACUCCGUGCCAACAGCCGCGGUAAUACGGAGGGUGCAAGCGUUAAUCGGAAUUACUGGGCGUAAAGCGCACGCAGGCGGUCUGUCAAGUCGGAUGUGAAAUCCCCGGGCUCAACCCGGGAACUGCAUUCGAAACUGGCAGGCUAGAGUCUUGUAGAGGGGGGUAGAAUUCCAGGUGUAGCGGUGAAAUGCGUAGAGAUCUGGAGGAAUACCGGGGGCGAAGGCGGCCCCCUGGACAAAGACUGACGCUCAGGUGCGAAAGCGUGGGGAGCAAACAGGAUUAGAUACCCCGGUAGUC